CACCCCUGGCAAUGGGCAAAGAGACCCCUUGGUUGGUGGUCUUCUAUUGGUCAGGGACAGAGCAGAUGGCAGUCCUUUGGUCUUCCUAGUUCGGUGCCUACCUUGGUGACCAAAGCUGUUUCAUGCCUAGGGCACAUAA